rnacentral:piRNA from 1 species
UGGGAAAUUNUAAGUGCUGACUCCUCUGG